CAGCCGCCGCGGUAAUACCGGCGGCCCGAGUGGCGGCCACUAUUAUUGGGCUUAAAGCGUCCGUAGCCGGGUUGGUUAGUCUCCCGGGAAAUCUGGCCGCUUAACGGUCAGAAUUCCGGGAGAUACUGCCAGCCUAGGGACCGGGAGAGGCCGAGGGUAUUCCCGGAGUAGGGGUGAAAUCCUAUAAUCCCGGGAGGACCACCUGUGGCGAAGGCGCUCGGCUCGAACGGGUCCGACGGUGAGGGACGAAGGCCAGGGGAGCAAACCGGAUUAGAUACCCGGGUAGUCCUGGCUGUAAACGAUGCGGACUUUGUGUCGGACAAGCUAUGAGCUUGUCCGGUGCCGGAGGGAAACCGUUAAGUCCGCCGCCUGGGGAGUACGGCCGCAAGGCUGAAACUUAAAGGAAUUGGCGGG
rnacentral:rRNA from 1 species